rnacentral:rRNA from 1 species
UGGGCUUGAAGUGCAGCGGACAGUAUCUGAAAGGAUACCUUCCUUCGGGACCGCUGUAG